rnacentral:misc_RNA from 1 species
AAGUCGUAACAAGGUUUCCGUAGGUGAACCUGCGGAAGGAUCAUUAGUGGAAAGUUUACUUUACACUUAAAACAAACAAUUGUGAACCAAUCAUUAGAACAGGUAUACCUCUAGUCGGGUCCGAAAGGAAAUGACAAGAGCUGGGGCCGUAGGAUUAUCGAGGACAAGCAAUUGUCUUUGUAAUCAAUAGGGGGGUAUGGAAGGUGAGCUCUUAAGUGGGCGGUGGAAAUAUCUAUUAAACUCUAUUGGUUCCUACAGUCAGAAGGUGUAUUACUAAAUAGUUGAUCUUCGGAUUGACUGCCUAAGUGGUACCGGUAUAUCGUACGCUAAUUCGAUUUUAACCCCGUGAGUGACGCAUGCUAGUUUUUAUUAUUGCCUAAAAAACCCUCAUUAUUUAUAAUGAAAAAUACAACCUUUAACAAUGGAUCUCUAGGCUCCU